GAUGAACGCUAGCGAUAGGCCUAACACAUGCAAGUCGAACGGCAGCGGGGGCUUCGGCCUGCCGGCGAGUGGCGAACGGGUGAGUAAUGCAUCGGAACGUGCCCAGUCAUGGGGGGAUAACUACGCGAAAGCGUAGCUAAUACCGCAUACGCCCUGAGGGGGAAAGUGGGGGAUCUUCGGACCUCACGUGAUUGGAGCGGCCGAUGUCAGAUUAGCUAGUUGGUGAGGUAAAGGCUCACCAAGGCGACGAUCCGUAACUGGUCUGAGAGGAUGAUCCGCCACACUGGGACUGAGACACGGCCCAGACUCCUACGGGAGGCAGCAGUGAGGAAUAUUGGUCAAUGGACGCAAGUCUGAACCAGCCACGUCGCGUGAAGGAAGACGGCCCUACGGGUUGUAAACUUCUUUUA
rnacentral:rRNA from 1 species